GAUGAAGAACGUAGCGAAAUGCGAUACGUAAUGUGAAUUGCAGAAUUCAGUGAAUCAUCGAGUCUUUGAACGCACAUUGCGCCCCCUGGUAUUCCGGGGGGCAUGUCUGUCCGAGCGUCAUUGCUGCCCUCAAGCACGGCUUGUGUGUUGGGCCUCCGUCCUCCUCCCGGGGGACGGGCCCGAAAGGCAGCGGCGGCACCGCGUCCGGUCCUCGAGCGUAUGGGGCUUCGUCACCCGCUCUUGUAGGCCCGGCCGGCGCUUGCCGACACAUCAAUCUUUUUACCAGGUUGACCUCGGAUCAGGUAGGGAUACCCGCUGAACUUAAGCAUAUCAAUAAGCGGAGGA
rnacentral:misc_RNA from 1 species